rnacentral:misc_RNA from 1 species
UCCGGUUUGUCACCGGCAGUCCCAUUAGAGUCCCCGCCAUAACGCGCUGGCAACAUAAGACAAGGGUUGCGCUCGUUGCGGGACUUAACCCAACAUCUCACGACACGAGCUGACGACAGCCAUGCAGCACCUGUGUUCAGGUUCCCUUUCGGGCACCUCUGCAUUUCUGCAGAGUUCCUGACAUGUCAAGGGUAGGUAAGGUUUUUCGCGUUGCAUCGAAUUAAUCCACAUCAUCCACCGCUUGUGCGGGUCCCCGUCAAUUCCUUUGAGUUUUAAUCUUGCGACCGUACUCCCCAGGCGGUCAACUUCACGCGUUAGCUGCGGUACUGAGAAAUCGCUUCCCCAACACCUAGUUGACAUCGUUUAGGGCGUGGACUAC